UACAGAGGUCUCAAGCGUUGUUCGGAUUCAUUGGGCGUAAAAGGGUGCGUAGGCGGCGCGGUAAGUCGGGUGUGAAAUUUCGGAGCUUAACUCCGAAACUGCAUUCGAUACUGCGGUGCUUGAGGACUGGAGAGGAGACUGGAAUUCAUGGUGUAGCAGUGAAAUGCGUAGAGAUCAUGAGGAAGACCAGUGGCGAAGGCGGGUCUCUGGACAGUUCCUGACACUGAGACACGAAGGCCAGGGGAGCAAACGGG
rnacentral:rRNA from 1 species